UACAACAAGGAACACCCGAGAGCGAAAGUGAUCAGUCAAAAAAUCAUUGAGUGCAUCGCACUGGAUCACCAGCCAUUUUCCAUCAUGCAAGAUGCUGGAUUCAGAGAACUUGUGGAGUUCCUCGAGCCACGCUUUGCCAUGCCCAAUCGCAAGUAUUUCUCAGAUGUUUGCCUCCUCGAGUUAGACAGUGUUGUUCAUAAACAUCAAGAGAAGCUCAUUU